UAGGACUGUAGUUCAGCUGGUUAGAAUACUUGCCUGUCACGCAAGUGGUCGCGGGUUCGAUUCCCGUCAGUCCUGCCAU
rnacentral:tRNA from 1 species